CCUACGGGAGGCAGCAGUAAGGAAUAUUGGUCAAUGGACGAAAGUCUGAACCAGCCAUGCCGCGUGAAGGAUUAAGGCCCUCUGGGUUGUAAACUUCUUUUAUCUGGGACGAAAAAAGGGUAUUCUUACUCACUUGACGGUACCAGAGGAAUAAGCACCGGCUAACUCCGUGCCAGCAGCCGCGGUAAUACGGAGGGUGCAAGCGUUAUCCGGAUUUACUGGGUUUAAAGGGUGCGUAGGUGGGCUUGUAAGUCAGUGGUGAAAUCUCCGGGCUUAACCCGGAAACUGCCAUUGAUACUAUAGGUCUUGAAUUAUCUGGAGGUAAGCGGAAUAUGUCAUGUAGCGGUGAAAUGCUUAGAUAUGACAUAGAACACCAAUUGCGAAGGCAGCUUACUACGGAUACAUUGACACUGAGGCACGAAAGCGUGGGGAUCAAACAGGAUUAGAUACCCUGGUAGUCCACGCCCUAAACGAUGGAUACUCGACAUCAGCGAUACACUGUUGGUGUCUGAGCGAAAGCAUUAAGUAUCCACCUGGGAAGUACGAUCGCAAGAUUGAAACUCAAAUGAUGAGNGNGAAGAGCGAGACGACACGAGGAGAGG
rnacentral:rRNA from 1 species